GGGGGGGUAAAAGUGACCCCAACACCUCUUACAUGUGAAUGGAACUGUAGAAGAGAAAAAGUCCUGCCGAGUCAGGCUAGCAUAGCUUCCCAGAGUGGCCUCUUUCUGUUCUUGACAUCUUAUCAAAUGCUCCUGUCUUUAGCAAUAAUGCCGGCGAGCUGAUCUGUUUAGCUAGAAACUCCAUAUUCUAGAUAGUUCCUUCUACCCACUGAUCCCCUAUACAAGUGAUUACAAAUCCAUUUGCCCUUGAGUGAGUUGAGCUGGAACCCUCCUCCCCGAUGACAUAGAUGGCCCCUAUGCUCACUGAACUGAACAAAGUUCCACUAAGUAAAGCCUCCUCCGUCCUCACCAAGUGACAUUAAUACAUUGUUCUUUAAAAUGAAAUCCAUUACUCGGCCUGCUGAUGUAAACAAUUGACGUUUCCUUUAAUGGAAGCAGAUGUCUUCCAAAGCGGUCAGGAGUCAGUAAGAUAAAAAGGGGAAAAGCCAUUCUUUGGAUCUUCUUUAAUCUCACUGUUUGGUGUGUGUUUUCCCAGGACUUUCUCUCAUAGUAAAAAUAUACAACACAACCUCUGCUCUUUCGUUGUGCUUGGCUUCGCUUCGGAGCACACGCCCAGGCUCAGUGGGUGAGAUUGCAGAUAGGUAACAAAUGCCUACGAAAUGAACUAGAAGGAAAUCCAGCCAAUGCCUUUCCGUCUCGGGACAGUGUUUAUGUUUAUAAAUAUCUUCAAGGUAUAUGGGGUUGUCCCCACCAUCACUCAGGGGGGCUCUCCUGAACCUGACAUUCAUCUCUUGGGCCAGGCUGGCUGGCUGAUCAAUGAGCUCCAGGAACCUGCCUGCCUCCACUCCCCCAGUGCUGCGGUUACAGGGACUUGCAUUUUAACCGGGUCAGGAUGAAGACACCUAACAGAUGAACCUUCAAUCUGGGGUUUCAGAUGGUGGAGCUGUGGAGUAAGGUUGUUCUCCUGCAAGGCCAGCUGCUCUAGUUGUUUUUUGUUUUCAGUGUAGGACAACCUUUAGGCUGCCAUCGGACUACCUUUUACCUCUCCUGAUAGACACUAGCUGCUGCACCCCCAAGAUGAAUAAAUUAACACACACUACAGAUCUCACUCUGUGGCUUUGCUUUAGGAAGUGUGCAUGCUUUGGGAUCCACACAACUGACUGGAACACCAUCGCAUGAAAGGCUACAUAGUAGAGAUGAUCUCUACGGCCCAGGGGACCUGUCCUUUGGGCUGCUCCCAGAGCAAUGGUAACACAAGAUUCCAGGAAUCCAUCCUCAAAUCUAGAAACUCAAUCCAAUGACACACACCUGCAGUGAUGACCAGUCCCUUCACUGAGUAAGCAGAGGGCACAUAGACAGCUAUGGGUGGAAGAUGAAACCAUCGCAACCGCAUAGACAACGGUGUCAACACUGGAACCAAUGCCGGGCCAAGCAGGGACCUGGCCUAAUUCUCCAGCCAAGUGGAAGCAUUGUGCAAAUCUGCAACCGCCUCUGCAUCAUGACUGUCUAAUCCUAAUUGUAAUGUCAUCUGCUCCAGUCAGGUCUUUUGCACACAGGGCUCACUGUCAGGGUCCCCUACAGCUUUAGUAGCCCAACUUUCUUCAGCCCUUUUGGUUGGCAACAGUUUCUCCAUAUCUGUCUGAAGGAUGGAGACCUGUUGGAGAAUAUUCAGUGAGGUAUCUGUCGGGCAUUUCUUCAUGACUUGGCUCAGGUAUCCUGGGUGAAAACAACACAAAAAUAAAAGUCAGACUCAUCCCUUUCCACCUUACUGGGUCACUCAGUGUCCACUGUCCAAUCCCCAGAGCUAGUGACUUAAAUCAGGGUAGCACUGGGCUAGACUUCCCCACUACAAUGUUACCUUUUUAAUGAAUACAACUUUUAGGAGGCAUUUUUCAAACAAACAAACAAACAAAGAAACAAACUGUAGGAGGCUGGAGAGAUGGCUCAGU